rnacentral:rRNA from 1 species
GAUGAACGCUGGCGGCGUGCCUAAUACAUGCAAGUCGAACGCAUUGAGAGAAGUGCUUGCACUUUUCAAUUAGAGUGGCGAACGGGUGAGUAACACGUGGGCAACCUACCUGAUAGCGGGGGAUAACGAGUGGAAACAUUCGCUAAUACCGCAUAACAAUAGAGAAGGCAUCGUCUUUAUUUAAAAGGCGCUUUCAAGCGUCACUAUCAGAUGGGCCCGCGGUGCAUUAGUUAGUUGGUGGGGUGAAGGCCUACCAAGACGAUGAUGCAUAGCCGAGUUGAGAGACUGAUCGGCCACAUUGGGACUGAGACACGGCCCAAACUCCUACGGGAGGCUGCAGUAGGGAAUCUUCCACAAUGGUCGAAAGUCUGAUGGAGCAACGCCGCGUGUGUGAUGAAGGCUUUCGGGUCGUAAAGCACUGUUGUAUGGGAAGAAAUGCUAGGCUAGGAAAUGAGCUUAGUUUGACGGUACCAUACCAGAAAGGGACGGCUAAAUACGUGCCAGCAGCCGCAGUAA